GUAUGGGCUAGACCGGGGAGUUCGGCGUUCCCUGCAACCAGAAAUCGUCGAUAUGCUGGGGUCGAAGUCAAGAGGCGGUGUGCCUGGUGGCAGGUGAUCCGUCUGCGGACGAUGAAGCUUUGUCCUCAGGGAUCGGAGGUGAUGAUUGCAUAUGAUCGGAGGGUCAUAUGCACAUCUUUGCUGUGGGUACCGGGUCAGGCCCGGAAGGGAGCAGCCUUACCACAGACUCUCGAUGCUCUGAGGGUUGGCAAGGCUGAGGAUGUAGCCGGGUAGUCACCUGUUUGCUAGGUAUGCCCACUCGAGACGUGCCCAUGC
rnacentral:SRP_RNA from 1 species